rnacentral:rRNA from 1 species
GACGAACGCUGGCGGCGUGCCUAAUACAUGCAAGUUGAGCGCUGAAGGUUGGUACUUGUACCAACUGGAUGAGCAGCGAACGGGUGAGUAACGCGUGGGGAAUCUGCCUUUGAGCGGGGGACAACAUUUGGAAACGAAUGCUAAUACCGCAUAAAAACUUUAAACACAAGUUUUAAGUUUGAAAGAUGCAAUUGCAUCACUCAAAGAUGAUCCCACGUUGUAUUAGCUAGUUGGUGAGGUAAAGGCUCACCAAGGCGAUGAUACAUAGCCGACCUGAGAGGGUGAUCGGCCACAUUGGGACUGAGACACGGCCCAAACUCCUACGGGAGGCAGCAGUAGGGAAUCUUCGGCAAUGGACGAAAGUCUGACCGAGCAACGCCGCGUGAGUGAAGAAGGUUUUCGGAUCGUAAAACUCUGUUGGUAGAGAAGAACGUUGGUGAGAGUGGAAAGCUCAUCAAGUGACGGUAACUACCCAGAAAGGGACGGCUAACUACGU